UUGGAUAAAAUACUUUCAAAAAAAUUGAUAAACAGUUUUAUCACUACUCAACUCGUUUCCUCCCUCCCCUCUCGUGUCUCUCACUUCAACAGCCUCUCUCUCCAUCCUCCACCAGCCGCCGUUCAUGGCUGCCGGUAAAAUCUCCAUUCGUAAACUUCUCAUUCAAUUGAAAAUCAGAAGAUGCUUCUCAAGGUACUCUAGGAACAUAUCAAGAAUCCAAUAGACCAAUUGACAAGACCAAUACUUCUAAGUUGUUGAUGUGUUUUGAAGAAGUAACAAAUUGGAAAUAUGAAGCGGGUGCUUAAAAGAAUUGGAGAGGCAUCUUUUUUCUAGCCAAACUUGAAAUCUUCAAGAGUUAUUAGAUGCAUAUUUAGAAGUGGAGUCAUUUAUCUUUAUUGUGUUAGUGUAAGAAUUUUGCAUAUUUUCAAACUUCUAAUAUUUGUUCAUUCUAUCAUGAGCAUUUCUGAUGUUUGAAUAUAUUUUAUUAAUAUUUCCAUGCAUUUUGGAAGAAACUAACUUC